AUUGGUUUCAUUUGGUGCGAGUU
rnacentral:snRNA from 1 species